rnacentral:rRNA from 1 species
GAUGAACGCUGGCGGCGUGCCUAAUACAUGCAAGUCGAGCGAACGGACGAGAAGCUUGCUUCUCUGAUAUUAGCGGCGGACGGGUGAGUAACACGUGGAUAACCUACCUAUAAGACUGGGAUAACUUCGGGAAACCGGAGCUAAUACCGGAUAAUAUUUUGAACCGCAUGGUUCAAAAGUGAAAGACGGUCUUGCUGUCACUUAUAGAUGGAUCCGCGCUGCAUUAGCUAGUUGGUAAGGUAACGGCUUACCAAGGCAACGAUGCAUAGCCGACCUGAGAGGGUGAUCGGCCACACUGGAACUGAGACACGGUCCAGACUCCUACGGGAGGCAGCAGUAGGGAAUCUUCCGCAAUGGGCGAAAGCCUGACGGAGCAACGCCGCGUGAGUGAUGAAGGUCUUCGGAUCGUAAAACUCUGUUAUUAGGGAAGAACAUAUGUGUAAGUAACUGUGCACAUCUUGACGGUACCUAAUCAGAAAGCCACGGCUAACUACGU